rfam:Oryza rufipogon genomic scaffold, chr01
AAUAAAUACAGUUUUAGUACUAUUCAUAUCCAAUGUUUGACCGUUCGUCUUAUUUGAAAAAAUAUUAUGAUCAGUACUUUUAUUUUAUUGUUAUUAAAUGAUAAAACAUGAAUGGCACUCUAUGUGUGACUAAUUUUUUUAAAUAUUUUUUUAUAAAUUUUUCAAAUAAGACGGAUGGUCAAAACGCUGAGCACGUAUAUCUAUGGCUAUACUUAUU